CAAAGAUUGCAUAUUUGACGACGCCACAUAAAUGGAAUAGGUACUAGCUAGCUUAAUAGUUAAUGUUUGCCCGCCAGCUCUGAAAAUUCAGCUAGUGUGUGAGUAAACCCUGCCAACAUAAUUAUUUUAAUUUAAAAAAACAUUGCUAUGGCGCGAUUGACUAGAUUACCCUCACGUCAGUUACGUGCCUUCCAGAAAGUAGAUACUAAUAUCUGUUGGAAAAAAGUUUGGAUGUUGCCACACACAUACCUACUUGUUAACAAAAUUAAGGAAGUUACCUUUAAAAUUAUUCAUAAAUAUUAUCCUGCCAACCACUAUAUGAAGACGUUUAAGGAAAACAUCAACUCAAAUUGCUCCUUUUGUAAUGACCACCCAGAAACAGUUUUGCAUCUUUUUUGGCAUUGUAUGCAUGUAAGAAAACUGGCAAGACAUCAGUAGGUUUAUAAUUGAACACAUUAAUGAAGAUUUUACACUAUUGUGGAGAGAUGUACUGUUUGGAUUCUUUACAUACAAUAGAAAUAAGCGGAAACAUUUUUUAUGUAAUUAAUUUCAUUAUUCUUUUGGACAAAUUUCAUAUACACAAAUGUAAAUUUACAAACAGAAAACCACAAGGUUUUAAGGUCCUUGUGUAAUUGUAAUGUGAUAUUGUACCCCCUAGCACGAUUGUCCAUUGUUUGUAAUCUAUGUAUGCUUGUGUUCCCUCAUGUGCUUUAUGUAUUGUUUUGUUGUUAAUUUAAAAAAAAGAUACGAACCCUCUGUUACCUGCCAGAUAAGGAACUGGCAGUGGAUCAAACCAUUGUGAGGCAAAGGGCGGGGGGUCGCAAUCUUUUGAAAUCUUUUAAUCUUUUAAAAACACACUAUUAAGUGUCUAUAAUCAGCGCAAGUGCUUUCAUUGCGUAUUAUUAAUAUUAUUGAAAUUACAUAGUUAGGUUUACAGUGAUAUAUUGGGGGAGACAAAUCAUAUUUUUCCCAGGAUGGGGGUCGUGCCCCCCCCACCGCCCCUGGGAUUUCCGCCUAUGCCUGAAGAGUCAUCCCAGCUCAGGCACGCUGGAACAUACCCAAUGGCUCCAGAGAGGUACAGCCCGCGGUGGCAGUAAGGGUAAGCAAGUGGGGAUUCGGAGAAGUACUCUGAUAUGAGCUACAUCAUGGAUCCAUUGUUCAGAGACUGUAGCAAAGGCUCAUUGAAGGGUAGCAGUGCUCCCUUCUCCCCAGACACAGAUCCUGUGCAGCCCAGUGUGGACCUGGAACUCGCUCGUAAGAAGGAGCUGGAGGUCAUAGAGGAGAAGAUAGCUCGCAAGAAAGCUGUUCUUGCUACACGAGAGCUUGAACACGGAGCUAAGGACAUGCCUAAAAAACAGACUGCAUCCACAACAGUGAAGGGCAUAUCUAAACAGACCAAAUAUGGACAAUACAAUAUUCAAAACAUACAACAAUGUCGCCGACAGGUCGUCACGCGUAUGCCUACCUCUUAAACGGAGGGUGCUGGACAUUCUAAGUAAGUUCAGAAGAACACCGGUACGGUACCUACUGCCUAAGGAUACCCCUGCCGAGCUGAAGAAUCAAAACAAGAUGCAAGCAUUGGAUCUGAUGAUUAGAGCUCCCCUAGAAAAUGAAGAGGCCCGUCCUCUGAGACUGAGGGUUUUAAUGAACCAGCGACGCUAUCCCGACAAUGAGGUGGUCCCUGAUGAUGAACCGCAUAAUCCAACCAUUCAGAGGCUACUUAAUUCACUCAGGACACAGGAGCAAGAUAAAGCAGCCACGGGCUUCCAGCGCUUCCUCAAUGUCCUCAAUGAAGGGGUGGACCUCAACAAGCUCUCAAAGAUCGUCAACGACGAAAAUGGGUUACUCAUUGUGGGCGAGGAGCUACCACAAGUUUGGCCGACUCUGCCCGAGGGUCAUGUUGACUCCAGCAGUAGAUCCAAGUCUUCUCUAGUUGAGGAGAAGACGAAGGUGAGGCUUGAGGAUGAGCAGCGGCACGAGCAGAUGCAGACCCUGCUGGAGAUCGUUGGGCUGGACUUGGGGGUUGAGGAGUUGGGUCAGCUGACAGACAGGACCAAUGACAGGCUGUAUGGGAAGAUGGGAGACUUGAAAAGGAAGGAGUUCGAGAAUGAGAAGGGGAAAAGAGAAAAGGGAAAGCGAGCCCUCAUUUAAACAUCUUAGUACUUCCUCAUUACCAUCAGACAGCGCCAGCCCCCUUCUAAACCAGCACUCAAACAUGACCGUUGAAUACAGCAGCUCUAGUGACAGGGUAUGGGACAUAGAGAGAGACGGGGACAGAUCUGAGAGGGACUGCCACUGACACUCUGGUGCCAGAGAUCUGAAAGAGAUUGAGAGGGAGAUGGGCACAGACACUCUAGUACCGGAGAGAGAACAUGGACAGAGUCAGAGAAACUAAGAGAUCAGAAGGAAAUGGAGAGAAAGACAGUAACAGAUCUGAGAGAGUCAGAGAUCCAGAGAGAGACUGGGACAGGGGGAGGCCGGGCCGAGCGAGAGACUGGGACAGGGGGAGGCCGGGCCGAGCGAGCGACUGGGACAGGGGGAGGCCGGGCCGAGCGAGCGACUGGGACAGGGGGAGGCCGGGCCGAGCGAGCGACUGGGACAGGGGGAGGCCGGGCCGAGCGAGCGACUGGGACGGGGACAGACCUGAGCAGCACAGGGACAGAUCUGAGAGGCACAGAGACAGAGUGAGGUGCCUGCAAAGGGACAGGAACAAACAUUCUAGGACCAGAGACUGGGACAGUGAGAGCGACUGGGACAGCCACUCUAUUACUAGAGACUGGGACAUGGAGAGAUCUGAGAGGGAUUGGUAUGGGAAUGAGUCCAGGGAAAGCUCCAUUGAGCUCUACUCAUACUCUAUGGACCCUAUAUACCCUGUUUCUCAUGCAUCUAUGAUGGCAACCUGCUCCCCCACCCAGUACUCUCAGUAUAUGGCAUACCACAGCAGCCCCUACACCAUUGCCUUCCCUCCAGGGUGGGGUUAUCCUCAUGGUACUAUGCCCCCUGGUACCAUGCUUCCUGUUACAAUGCCACCUGGAAUCAUGCCUGCUGGUGCCAUUUCACCUGGUAAUAAGCCCCUCCUACCUAACCCCUCUGGGGAUCCACCCUACCCCAGUGCCCCCCCAUAUUUCUCUAAUGGAACCACAGCCUUAAACCAGACAUGCGUAUACUCCCAGCCUGCUAGCAACCUCCAGCUCACAUCUACCCAGCCUGCUACUAGCUACCUCCAGCUCUCAUCUACCCAGGCUGCCAACACUGCAGCAGUCUUGCCCCUCCUAUGUAACCCCCCCAUUUGUCACAAGAAACAUGCUCCCUGGUAUAAAUAAAAAUUAAAAAUAUGCCCUGAAGCAAGUUUGUAGACAAAUGGAACGGAAAUGGCGCUCCACCAAAUUGGAAGUCUUCCGACUAGCUUGGAAAGAACUAUCGAAAAGCCCUCACUGCUGCUCGAUCGGCCUACUUUUCCAACCAGACUGAGGUGGAUAAAAACAAUCGAAAAUGUAUUUUUGAUACUAUCGAAAAGAUAACUAAAAAGCAGCAUUCCCCAUGUGAGGAUGGCCUUCACUUCACCUAAGCAGUUACAUCCUGCCUGGUUGGCCCUGUCUGGGGGUAUCAUCGGACUGGGCCACAUUAUCUAAGCACUGAGUUCUGUCUAAGCACUUUGUGACAUUUACUGAUGGAAAAAAGGCUUUCAAAAGUAAAUUAAUUUGAUUGAUUGACCUUAAGUCAGAGAUACAACAUACAUCCAACCCGCUAGCAACCACCAUCUCACAUACACCCAGCCCGCUAGCAACCACAAGGAAAAGAGAUAGAAGCAUGCAGAAGCCGUAGUGAAAGCGAAGAGACAGAAACAUGUAAAAGUGUCCUGUCAGAUGGUGACAAAGUCCCCCUCUGAACCGGGAUGAAUGAAGAGAGCAAAGGGGGUAAACAAUAUAUUCCUCUCAGGUAUUUUCAUUUAGAGUUAUCACAAUCAUCUAAGGAAGCGUCUGUGUAAGAGGAAACGGCUUUUGAAGCGGAGGAAUAAGGCUCCCCAGCACAAAAUGAAGUGACUGCUUGCAGAAGUAUCAGGGAAAAAGUGACCCCUCAGGUUGUUGCAACGGGUUUCCCCUUUGAAGAGGAGCCCAAGGUCCAGAAGGAGUAGCAAUGAUAGAUGGGGAGAAACUAAAUGCUGACACAGAAGAAGUGGUCCCUCAGGAAGCUAGAUUUGUCAUGACACUAGCGAAAGGAUUUGUUAUAGUUUAUCCUCAUCCUUAAAUGCUUCAUGUUGAAGCUAUUUUCAGUGUAAUGUUUUGCAUUGUGUGUGGUAUGGGUAGGGCCAGGAGUUUUUCUUGACUAUGAUAUCUGCUCAGUAAACACAUUUUCUCGCCCGUUAUAAACCAAAUCUUAAGGCCGUGGAGUUGACUUGGUCUGGUCAUGUGGUCAGGAAAAACUCCUGGCCUUGGGCAUAGUACAUGUGUAUCAAUGCAAUGACAUGUUUGUAAGUUCUCAUGCCUGAUAGCUAAAAGCAAGAAAACUGCCCAGGUUUCACUCCCCAGUUCAGUCUAUAGAUCGUCUUUCACGUUGUAUAUAUUUAAAUUAAUAAAGUAUUCUGUCUAAUA
ensembl:lncRNA